AACUUCUAUCAUAAUAUUUAUAAGCCCUUUUUUUACACUUUCAGAAUCUGUUUUAAUAAAACAAUUGAAUCGUUAUUUUCUUUCAGACCUAUGCCUAGAACCACAUUGCAAACACCUGCUGAUGCUGCAUCUAAAAUUAAUCUUAGUUGCCAGUUUUCAGAUCACGUGUCUUUCUCUGCUGCAGAGCCCCAGGACAAGCUGGCUGUGUCUACUACCGCGCACUUGAGCACUUCGAGCACUGACUUUCAGUGUUCGAAGUGCGCCACUGAAAAAACCAGCAGAAUUCAGUGCACUGAAAGUACCCGGAUGGUGCACUGCAAACGGGCAAAAAAUGUAGUGUAAAACGAUGGACACUACUCGCCCUAAACGGCCGCCAUCUUGGCCACGUAGCGGAAGAGGAGGAGCCCUUUCGCCAGCUUUUCAUUUUAUUUCUAAAACAAUGGCGGACAGUACAAGCGGUAGACCACGAAGCUACAGACCGUAAAUAGACGUUUCCUGGAGGUGCUGGUCCUCUGCUGCCCUCCCGACAUCUGCAUCUGGCUCCAAUGACCUCUGGCACCUCACAUCCACCUCCAGGGCCUUUAAGAAGAUGGACCGCCAUCGCGUCUUCAGUAUCCCGAAGGACCUCUCCACAACACACCUCGCCUUUGACAGGCAGCAGUUGUAGCGUGCUUGGAGGUGGACAGGCUGCCUGAAGGGGGUCAUGAGGCAGAUGGGUUGGGACAGGCAGGGAUAGCCACCAUCCCCAAGGAUACAGUAUCCUGGUGGAGGGGAUGACUGCUCAUAGAAGAUGGGGCUGUUAUUCAGGACCCUGGCAUCAUGCACUGAGCCCGGGGCCUGUCGAAGGCCCUGGCCACCACCCGAUAGGAGGUGGCGCUGGCAAGCCAAAAAAUAAAAACUAGACAGGAGAUCUCGGGGCCCCAACCGUGGUCAGUCAGUGCCCAGCACAGCCAUGAGGGCGUUGAAUGACUCUCGGUGAGCCUGAAGUCCACCCUCAUGUCACUGUGGCCAUCAAAAUACAACGCCAGCAGUGGCAUUGCAACAUUGAUACGGCAGCGCCGCCUGGGACUGGGUGGCUGCUGUAGAGUGUGUGGGGAGGGGAGGGGAAGAUUAUAUUAAUAUGUAAGUCAUUUUAUCAAUAAAAUGUUGUCAUU